rnacentral:rRNA from 1 species
UAACGUACGACGAAGUUACGCUAAUACCGCAUAUUCUGUGAGCAAGGAAAGCAGGGGAUCGCAAGACCUUGCGCUGAUUGAGCGGCCGAUGUCAGAUUAGCUAGUUGGUGAGGUAAAGGCUCACCAAGGCGACGAUCUGUAGCGGGUCUGAGAGGAUGAUCCGCCACACUGGAACUGAGACACGGUCCAGACUCCUACGGGAGGCAGCAGUGGGGAAUUUUGGACAAUGGGGCAACCCUGAUCCAGCCAUGCCGCGUGAGUGAAGAAGGCCUUCGGGUUGUAAAGCUCUUUCGGCCGGGAAGAAAUCGCAUGGGUUAAUACCCUGUGCGGAUGACGGUACCGGCAUAAGAAGCACCGGCUAACUACGUG